ACCAAGUAUUGCCUAGUGGUUGGUGAAUUAUUUGUCCUUGUCACUACUAGGGUGACAUAGUAGCAGAUACCUUCUAGUUUGUAGCCUCUAGAGUUACUUCAAAGCCUAGCUGUCCUGGAAAGAAAAUGGACUGGCUGACUUCUGGAAAGCAAGUCACCACACUGGUGCUAGUGACUACAGCUAAGCCCUCCUGGUCUACAAGCAAGGCAGCAGAAUUUGCGUAGUUAUUAGCGCUUUCUAGUUCAGCCUGCUCCUAGACUGAGACAUAUAUGAAAAGGACUGAAGGGUGAUGAGCUAGUCAUUACUUAUGAGUCCUUUUCUUCAGUGUCUGAUGUUAUGGUUGUCCUGCUGGUUGCAUUAGAUUUUCUUCCAUUCUUGCAAGUUAGAACCCUGAUAAGUUACUGAGAAGUCCUUACCUUACAAGAAGAUGGGAGAGAGACAACAAGAAUUUUGGCAAGGGACUGAUGAAAGAUAAAAAUGGGGAGGAGGAAAGAGUAACUGGGACAGUUGAUCAAAGUGUAUCAGUUCAUAAAUAAGGAAUGUAGCAUGUUGUGAAGAUCUGAGCUUGUAGCUUGAACCCCUGGGAAGGCUGGACUGCAAUGAUUGCUACAACAUCUCAGAUGAUAAACUAGCAUGGUAAAGAACUUGUUUAAUAAGAAAAGAAAUAUUUCAUGCUACCUUAUAGUAGAAGUAACUUUUGCAUUUUUUGGGACUUCAGUUCAAAAACUGCGGUUGUCUCUGCCUAUCGGUUUUCUGCCAUAUAUUCAAGUCUCCAUGUUUUUAUCUCUUAUAAGUAAGGAAAGGCAAAUUAGGAAGAAAAUCCUGCACUGAACCACAGCAAAGAGCUGUAGGCUUUAGGCUGUGUGUUGUGUAUGUGAGUUUUGUUGGUUUGCUGGUUUGUUUGUUUUAAAUUCAAGAGUAGAGCUUUUAUAUUAAACUGUUAGGGCUAUCAAGAAGCUGUUAAUAUUCAUCCUAAAAAUUACUGAGUGUUGGAAACAUUUGCUUUCCCAUCUUUCAGUGCUUGCAUAUCUCAUUUAAAUCUGCUGCCUCUGUGUGGGAGCAGGGACACUGGAUUCAAAGGCAGUUGUUAACAAACCCAGUCUGUUGCUGGGAUGUCCCUGUGUUGUUUAUGAACACCUGUCAUCCCAACUUGUUCUUAUUUGCUAUGUUUUAGAGUCUUUUUCUCUAAGUGGUAUUUUUAAGAUUUCAGAAGGAUAGUUUGCAACAAGUAUGUUUCAAAUCUAUCCCAGUAAGUGUAGAUUUAUUUACUUAUUCUCAGCAUUUAUCUAAGGGAGUAUUUUAUUUGUUUUAAAAUACACAACAGCUAAAAAGCAAAUGGUGGCGUGAGCAGUCAUGGAGGCAAGCCUCUUAACUAUUCUACACAUGUAAUACCUUUCUUGGUUUUAGAGUACAGCAGCAAUUGAUUUCAUUUUUAAACGUCAAAGCAUUUUUGUGCUGCCAUGGGACAUAGACACAGAGCUAGUUAUGAACACACCACAAUUGAAUCAGUCAAACUUCAUUUUGUGAUGUCCUCUUGGAAUAAGCUAAACCAGCGUGUCUGUUUUGUAAAUUGUUCUUUUAAUGUAGCUAAGACUUGAACAUCAGUCCUUUAUCUUCCCUUCUUUCUCUAACCAUACUGUGUGUUAAAACUCUAUCCUUGUCACCAGAAUGUAUGCAUAGGUUUUCCAUUUGUCAUUGAGAAUGAAGAUUCAGAUUAUUUUUUUUUUAAUUACUAUUUUUUUAUUGUACUGGUGGUAGUCUUUUUCUUGGUAUUAAUGGUUUGUGUUCGUUCUUUUAAAUAAAAGCUGUGUGUUGCUGUUAGGAUAU